GAGUUUGAUCAUGGCUCAGAUUGAACGCUGGCGGCAUGCCUUACACAUGCAAGUCGAACGGCAGCACGGGAGCUUGCUCCUGGUGGCGAGUGGCGAACGGGUGAGUAAUGCAUCGGAACGUAUCCUGGAGUGGGGGAUAACGUAGCGAAAGUUACGCUAAUACCGCAUAUUCUGUGAGCAGGAAAGCGGGGGACCUUCGGGCCUCGCGCUCUUGGAGCGGCCGAUGUCGGAUUAGCUAGUUGGUGAGGUAAAGGCUCACCAAGGCGACGAUCCGUAGCAGGUCUGAGAGGAUGAUCUGCCACACUGGAACUGAGACACGGUCCAGACUCCUACGGGAGGCAGCAGUGGGGAAUUUUGGACAAUGGGGGCAACCCUGAUCCAGCCAUGCCGCGUGAGUGAAGAAGGCCUCGGUUGUAAG
rnacentral:rRNA from 56 species